rnacentral:rRNA from 1 species
GACGAACGCUGGCGGCGUGCCUAACACAUGCAAGUCGAGCGGGGUUGAAGCGAGGGGUAACUCGAGUUUCUACCUAGCGGCGGACGGGUGAGUAACGCGUGGGCAACCUGCCUCAAGGACUGGGAUAACAGCUCGAAAGGGCUGCUAAUACCGGAUAAGCCUAUGGCCUCGCAUGGGGCCAUGAGCAAAGGGGAAACCCGCCUUGAGAUGGGCCCGCGUCCCAUCAGCUAGUUGGUGAGGUGAAGGCUCACCAAGGCGACGACGGGUAGCCGGCCUGAGAGGGUGACCGGCCACACUGGGACUGAGACACGGCCCAGACUCCUACGGGGGCAGCAGUGGGGAAUCUUGCACAAUGGGCGAAAGCCUGAUGCAGCGACGCCGCGUGAGCGAAGAAGGCCUUCGGGUGUAAAGCUCUGUCUGGAGGGACGAAGGAGUGACGGUACUCCGGAGGAAGCCACGGCUAACUACGUGCCAGCAGCCGCGGUAACUAGUCACGUCG